rnacentral:rRNA from 1 species
GAUGAACGCUGGCGGCGUGCCUAAUACAUGCAAGUCGAGCGAACGGACGAGAAGCUUGCUUCUCUGAUGUUAGCGGCGGACGGGUGAGUAACACGUGGAUAACCUACCUAUAAGACUGGGAUACCUUCGGGAAACCGGAUCUAAUACCGGAUAAUAUUUUGAACCGCAUGGUUCAAAAGUGAAAGUCGGUCUUGCUGUCACUUAUAGAUGGAUCAGCGCUGCAUUAGCUAGUUGGUAAGGUAAAGGCUUACCAAGGCAACGAUGCAUAGCCGACCUGAGAGGGUGAUCGGCUACCCGGGAACUGAGACUCGGCCCAGACUCCUACGGUAGGCAGCAGUAGGGAAUCCUCCGCAAUGGGCGAAAGCCUGACGGAGCAACGCCGCGGGAGUGAUGAAGGUCUUCGGAUCGUAAAACUCUGUUAUUAGGGAAGAACAUAUGUGUAAGUAACUGUGCACAUCUUGACGGUACCUAAUCAGAAAGCCACGGCUAACUACGUG